rnacentral:rRNA from 1 species
UACAGGGGGGGCAAGCGUUGUUCGGAAUUACUGGGCGUAAAGGGCUCGUAGGCGGCCAACUAAGUCACACGUGAAAUCCCCAGGCUUAACCGGGGAACUGCGUCUGAUACUGGAUGGCUUGAGUUUGGGAGAGGGACGCGGAAUUCCAGGUGUAGCGGUGAAAUGCGUAGAUAUCGGGAGGAACACCAGUGGCGAAGGCGACUACCUGGCCUGUUUCUUGACGCUGAGGCGCGAAAGCUAGGGGAGCAAACGGG